rnacentral:lncRNA from 1 species
GAUUCUCCACUUAAGACACUUCCGUUGAAGCUAGUGAGGAUGUCUUUGUUUGAAAAUGAAAUUCCUGCAACAAUAAGAAAGUGAGAUCCUUGUAUAUUAAUGAAACAAAUUCAUUAGGCUAUGAUUCUAUUCUAAAGUGAUGAUAAUCUCUGACAGAUGGUAUACCUGAAAUUCUGGCAGAUGUGGUACAAGGAAAAAGCUGGAGCUAGGGUGAAGCUUGCUGAUUUUGAAACAAUAUGGCUCCGGGAUUUACUGUUAAAAAAACAAGAAGAUAAAACAUGUUGAAUUUAGAGAUACAGUCUUACGCAAUCCUUAAUUUUAGAAAACAUAGGAUUUGAGACCACUUACAGAGCAAGAAGAGGCAUUUUUCAUUGUUAGGUCAUAAUCUAGCUUUUGCCUCUUUGAUCGCUUUGAUUUUCCUGAAUCAGAUUGGUAGUGUUCUUUUAAACACUUGUAUCCCUGCAGUCAAAGAAUCAACACAUUAAAGAACGUAAUCAAGAUAUUGAAAUCAAUGAUGAGGAGUGAGGACGCAACCGUUUCAGUCAUGCAGCCGAGAUCAUGCUUAAUAUUUAACAAUUUAGCUUGCAUGUCCUGAUUUUGCAUCAUCUAGCUUUGCCUUUCGAUAA